rnacentral:rRNA from 1 species
UACGUAGGGUCCAAGCGUUAUCCGGAGUUACUGGGCGUAAAGCGUGCGCAGGCGGCGCGUUUAAGUGAGGUGUGAAAUCUUGCGGCUCAACCGUAUAGAUUGCAUCUCAUACUGGCGCGCUAGAGUGAGGCAGAGGCAAGUGGAAUUGGCAGUGUAGCAGUGAAAUGCGUAGAUAUUGCCAGGGAACACCAAUGGCGAAGGCAGCUUGCUGGGCCUCCACUGACGCUCAGGCACGGAAAGCGUGGGGAGCGAACAGG